rnacentral:rRNA from 1 species
CCUACGGGAGGCAGCAGUGAGGAAUAUUGCGCAAUGGGGGGAACCCUGACGCAGCGACGCCGCGUGAGUGAGGAAGGCCUUCGGGUCGUAAAGCUCUGUCAAGAGGGAAGAAGUGCACUAUGGUUAAUACCCGUAUUGCUUGACGGUACCUCUAAAGGAAGCACCGGCUAACUCCGUGCCAGCAGCCGCGGUAAUACGGAGGGUGCGAGCGUUGUUCGGAAUCACUGGGCGUAAAGGGCGCGCAGGCGGUUUGGCAAGUCAGAUGUGAAAUCCCAUGGCUUAACUGUGGAAGUGCAUUUGAAACUGCCAGGCUUGAGUACCAGAGGGGAAAGUGGAAUUCCCGGUGUAGAGGUGAAAUUCGUAGAUAUCGGGAGGAAUACCGGUGGCGAAGGCGACUUUCUGGCUGGAUACUGACGCUGAGGCGCGAAAGCGUGGGGAGC